ACAAGCUUGUGUCUAAUAGGUAU
rnacentral:miRNA from 1 species